rnacentral:lncRNA from 1 species
ACAACUUGACUAGUAAAUUGCGUAAGCGAACAUAAUUUUUAUUUAUUUCUUGAAGUAUAUCUAUACUUUAAUUUGUGGAAAUAUCUAUUUAAUGAUUUUUUUUAUAUUUCGUACCCCUAAUGUAUGUAAUAAGUUUUAUUUAACCUGUCCUUUUUUAUGAUUUACCUUAAUAAUUCUCAUCGUUAGGAAAUAAGAGCAAGCACUAACGAUGGAGAAAGUUCGUAAAAGGUCCAUUUUGAUAGAUUUUCCCCUCCCCUUCUAACCUUUAUUUUCUUCAUUACUUACUUCCUCUGUUAAUCCUCACAAAAUGAAUUAUUUUAUAAUUUUGCAAAUAAAUAAAUAGAUUAAAAAGCAAAAUCGUAAAAAUCAAGUGAAUGGAAUGUAAAUGUAACUAAAGAAAACAUUGGAUAAUCAGUAUUGUAGUAUAAAUCCAAUUAAAUGGAAGGAUUUGGGCAUGUGGACUUUAAAUUCACAAGUGUAAUUACUCGAUAUUUGCUGGAUGCGCAAGAAUAUGCCUCCCCUAAAUUCCAGUAGAUAUUUUUACCUUUUUAUGUGGAUUACACUUCAAAAAUGAUAUCUUCUAAUAAGCUGCCAAUUAGUUUAUAUUUCAGAAAAGAUGGUUACCAGAAUAUUUAUUGGUACUAACAAAAGUAUUAUUUUGCAGGACAUAUAUAUCCCGAAAAAAAUGUGUUGUAAGCAAAUCAUGGUGGUGUUGGAAAUUUGUAUUUUUGUCUUAGUUUUAUUUCCUGAGACGAUGGUAAACUGUAGAACUCCUGAAGAAACAGAGUUAAUUUGCUAUCUGGUAUGCAGGGAAGACUGGGGGGUUUAUGGAUGGGACUAUACUAAGAACCUUACUCAAGAACAAAUUAAUGAAAAAUGCAGAAGGGGAGAAAGAUUUAUGCCAUGUGAAAUUGAUGGAGAAUUGAUCUUGUAAUUAAUUAUAAAUAUUAUAUUUUCUUAUAGAAACUUGUUCACAU